UGAGCUUGAUCCUGGCUCAGGACGAACGCUGGCGGCGUGCCUAAUACAUGCAAGUCGAGCGAAUGGAGGGGAGCUUGCUCCCUGAAGUUAGCGGCGGACGGGUGAGUAACACGUGGGCAACCUGCCCUGUAGACUGGGAUAACAUCGAGAAAUCGGUGCUAAUACCGGAUAAUCAAAGGAAUCACAUGGUUCUUUUGUAAAAGAUGGCUUCGGCUAUCACUAUAGGAUGGGCCCGCGGUGCAUUAGCUAGUUGGUGGGGUAGAGGCUCACCAAGGCAACGAUGCAUAGCCGACCUGAGAGGGUGAUCGGCCACACUGGGACUGAGACACGGCCCAGACUCCUACGGGAGGCAGCAGUAGGGAAUCUUCCGCAAUGGACGAAAGUCUGACGGAGCAACGCCGCGUGAGUGAUGAAGGUUUUCGGAUCGUAAAGCUCUGUUGUUAGGGAAGAACAAGUACCGUUCGAAUAGGGCGGUACCUUGACGGUACCUAACCGAAGCCCGA
rnacentral:rRNA from 1 species